CCCCAAUGAUAAAUAGUUGGGCUUCGAGUUCCCCUCUUCAAUUCAAUCAACCUGUCUCUCAUCUCUCUCUCUCGAUAGCUUCUCUCAACUCUCUCCCAACCAACUAUUCUGCAAAUUUCUCAUUUCAAUCCUCGGUGACUUCAACAUCCGACUAUAAAGAGUUGGGCUUUGAGUUCUUUUUCGACUUCAAUCAACAUGAUAGCCUUGUUCUCCGACCA
rnacentral:lncRNA from 1 species